CAGUCGAGCGGAACGAAGAGGAGCUUGCUCCUUUGGCGUCGAGCGGCGGACGGGUGAGUAAUGCUUGGGAAUGUGCCUUAUGGUGGGGGACAACAGUUGGAAACGACUGCUAAUACCGCAUAAUGUCUUCGGACCAAAGUGGGGGACCUUCGGGCCUCACGCCAUAAGAUCAGCCCAAGUGGGAUUAGCUAGUUGGUAAGGUAAUGGCUUACCAAGGCGACGAUCCCUAGCUGGUUUGAGAGGAUGAUCAGCCACACUGGGACUGAGACACGGCCCAGACUCCUACGGGAGGCAGCAGUGGGGAAUAUUGCACAAUGGGCGCAAGCCUGAUGCAGCCAUGCCGCGUGUGUGAAGAAGGCCUUCGGGUUGUAAAGCACUUUCAGUAAGGAGGAAAGGUUAAGUGUUAAUAGCACUUACCUGUGACGUUACUUACAGAAGAAGCACCGGCUAACUCCGUGCCAGCAGCCGCGGUAAUACGGAGGGUGCGAGCGUUAAUCGGAAUUACUGGGCGUAAAGCGUACGCAGGCGGUU
rnacentral:rRNA from 1 species